rnacentral:rRNA from 1 species
AUGUUGGCCUUGAGCGCGCCGCCGGCGAUGCCCAUCAGGCCCUUGGACAGCGACACCCCCCGCUUGCCCGACUCGUCCUCCUGCUGGUACACGCACCGGAACGCCUUGUCGUCCGCCCCCUUGUGCGUGCGCACCGUGUGCACCAGCUGGUACUUGGACCGCCGCCGCGCCGACCGCCGGUUCGACAGCAGGAUCGCCGCGCCGCCCAUGCGGAACAGGCAGUUGGACACCAGCAUCGAGCGGUCGUUGCCGAAGUACCAGUUGAGCGUGAUGUUCUCCAUGCUGAUCACCACGGCGUACGUGCCGGGCUGCGCCUGCAGCAGGUCCUUGGCGAGGUCGACGGCGAUGAGCCCCGCGCUGCACCCCAUGCCGCCCAGGUUGUAG